AGAGUUUGAUCCUGGCUCAGGACGAACGCUGGCGGCGUGCCUAAUACAUGCAAGUCGAGCGGAGCACUUCGGUGCUUAGCGGCGGACGGGUGAGUAACACGUAGGCAACCUGCCUGUAAGACUGGGAUAACUACCGGAAACGGUAGCUAAGACCGGAUAAUUGAUUUUUCCGCAUGGAGAGAUCAUGAAACACGGAGCAA
rnacentral:rRNA from 1 species